rnacentral:rRNA from 1 species
UAACAAGGAUUCCCCUAGUAACUGCGAGUGAAGCGGGAAAAGCUCAAAUUUAAAAUCUGGCAGUCUUUGGCUGUCCGAGUUGUAAUCUGGAGAAGCGUUUUCCGCGCUGGACCGUGUACAAGUCUCUUGGAACAGAGCGUCAUAGAGGGUGAGAAUCCCGUCUUUGACACGGACUACCAGUGCUUUGUGAUGCGCUCUCAAAGAGUCGAGUUGUUUGGGAAUGCAGCUCAAAAUGGGUGGUAAAUUCCAUCUAAAGCUAAAUAUUGGCGAGAGACCGAUAGCGAACAAGUACCGUGAGGGAAAGAUGAAAAGCACUUUGGAAAGAGAGUUAAACAGUACGUGAAAUUGCUGAAAGGGAAACGCUUGAAGUCAGUCGCGUCUGCUAGUACUCAGCCUGUCUUCUUGACUGGUGCAUUUACUUGUGGACGGGCCAGCAUCAGUUUUGGCUGCGGGAUAAAGAUUAGAGGAAUGUGGCAUCUUAGGGUGUGUUAUAGCCUUUGAUCAUAUACCGCGGCUGGGACUGAGGAUCUCAGCACGCCUUUAUGGCGGGGGUUCGCCCACCUUCGUGCUUAGGAUGCUGGCGUAAUGGCUUUAAACGACCCGUCUUGAAACA